CCCUUAGACGUUCUGGGCCGCACGCGCGCUACACUGACACAGGCAACGAGCUUUCCUUUACCGAAAGGUAUGGGUAAUCUUUUGAAACUGUGUCGUGCUGGGGAUAGAUCCUUGCAAUUUUUGAUCUUAACCGAGGAAUUCCUAGUAAGCGCGAGUCAUCAACUCGCGUUGAUUACGUCCCUGCCCUUUGUACACACCGCCCGUCGCUACUACCGAUUGAAUGGCUUAGUGAGGCCUCAGGAUCCGCGCUUAAUGUGUGGAGAAUUUGGACAAACUACGUCAUUUAGAGGAAGUAAAAGUCGUAACA
rnacentral:rRNA from 1 species